GCGAAAUGCCUGUAUAUAAGCCUAGCACUUACAGCUAUUAUUUAUUCACUUGGGAAAUCUAGAGAUCUGAACAGCAUCAUGAAAAUUCCAAUCAUUUUAUUGAUUUGCUUGGCCUUUCAAAGGCCGCCGGGACCGUGGACCAAAAAAUAAAAAAUAAAUAAAUAGAUGGUUAACAUCUAAAGUAAAUAAAUAAUUUUCAAAACUU